UACGUAGGGUGCGAGCGUUGUCCGGAAUUAUUGGGCGUAAAGAGCUCGUAGGCGGUUUGUUGCGUCGGCCGUGAAAACCUGCAGCUUAACUGUGGGCCUGCGGCCGAUACGGGCAGACUUGAGUUCGGUAGGGGAGACUGGAAUUCCUGGUGUAGCGGUGAAAUGCGCAGAUAUCAGGAGGAACACCGGUGGCGAAGGCGGGUCGCUGGGACGUUACUGACGCUGAGACGCGAAAGCGUGGGGAGCAAACAGG
rnacentral:rRNA from 1 species